GUAAAACAGUUUUUACAACUGAUUUAUUUUAACUAACUGAUUUAUUUUUCUGCGUGAUCGCGUUUUUAUUCGCUAGCAUAAAUUUAAAGCUCGUGUAAUUCCCGAAGUCAACGACUCUAACAUCCCAAUCAGGAAUCUUCGUUAAAAACGUCGGAGUUCUCCUUGCAUAUUUCAGGUAGUUGUAUCCCAAUUAAUCCCAGCUGUUUAUUGGUCCUCGCCACCUACAUGUACAUCCGCUAUGCAAGCCCGUUUGCGAUUUUAUACCAAGAACACGCUAUUGAAAAUCUUUACUGAGGUUUUGAAAUAUUACUAGUGAAUUUCCCUUUCAAACAGGCGAAACUUAAAUAUUAUUCCUAUUUCCAAUUAUCAGUAUAUAAACAAACCAUGAAAAUACGGCACUCUUAAUAACUAUAGGCUACAAUCACUUUCAGAAGUUGUUGGGACAAUUGUAGUUUUAGCUUGUAAGUAGAUUAUUACAGCUUUUCGCACACAAUACCGCUCCCCUCCCCCUCCCGCCACCCCAAUCAAUGUUGCUCCAACCAAAACACAUCAAACCUGACGAGAAAUGGGACACAACAUUGAACAGGGGGUAGGGGCAUUGACGUUUGUUGAAAUUCAAAGGUGUUGUGGUAUCUCUCCCAAGACUUUUGGAAUUGAUUGUACAUAUAUGUAAACUCAGUUUAGUUCAAGAAAUUAGUCCUAGGCGCAGAUGGCGGCAAUUUGCCGCGUCUGUGUAGAAGUGCACAAAAACACACUCAUUACUAACGAGGUACAGGAUCGUUACAAAACAAAUAGAAUACAGCCCCAAAAAUUUCCUGAUUUGCCAAGAUUGAGUUGAGAAAAUGUUCUAAGACAAGCACAUUAUUUCAUUUUGGUCUUAAGUUGUCGCG